UCCGCGGCCAAACGGGCCCUUAUAUGAGCUGCAGUAGCUUAGAGUUCAAGUGAAAAGUAAAACAGUAACUUUUUGAAGAUGAAAAACGGUGAAAUUUGCAUUAAAAAAGUUGUGUUUGACGAAAUCAACCCCGGCUGAAACGGUGUCGUACGAUAUCACUUUUUUGUUUUCCUUCAUUUGAAUGGUACAACACAUGAUUAGUAGAGAAGAAGAAGUUUGAGUUGCUGUAAAUCACUAUCAAAAAGGAGAGCAGCGUGAUAAUUGAACUAAAGAACCCUAUCAUCACUGUGUUCCUCACGAGAAUAAAGCUCAUCAUUGCUCUAGUUUGUCGACAUAAUUAUGUGUUUCUGCAUGUAUUGCGAAGAACAAGAGGUGAAGAAAUAAGAAUGAAUAAAGCUACAAAGAAAAAAAGGGACCUUUUUUUGAAUCUGGGUAUCCCCAAAUGUCUUUUCUUUAUCUUCCUUUUUUGAGCAUUUAAGCUAUGGCUGACGAUUUCUGCGACUUCACCAAGGAUACGUUCAUCUUAAAGCAACCAAAGAAAUCUCCACUGCUGCUGAGAAUGGUGGUUUUACUCUUUGCAAUGAUAUGUGGAAUAUAUACAUGUUCAAUUUUUCUGAAACAAAUUGGUUCGCGUUCCAGUGGACUGCUUGCGACUGUUCAUGUCGUUGAAAGGCCAUGUGAGACGACUAAUGUUGACCCUUUGGAAAAACCUUACAUGCACUUCCCCAAGCCAAAAACUUUUAGCCGGGCUGAGUGUGCUUGCAAUCCUGUAAGGUUUUUUGCGAUUUUCUCCAUUCAGAGGUCUGGCAGUGGAUGGUUUGAAACAUUGUUAAACAGCCAUAUGAAUAUAAGCUCUAACGGGGAGAUUUUUUCUGUUAAAGUCCGCAAAAGUAAUGCAUCAACAAUUUUGGAAACAUUGGACAAACUCUAUGACCUAGACUUUUUGACCAGCGCUUCCAAGAAUGAAUGUACAACUGCAGUUGGUCUGAAGUGGAUGCUUAAUCAGGGUCUAUUGCAGCAUCAUGAGGAAAUUGUUGAGUAUUUCAAAAGGAGAGGAGUUUCUGCAAUUUUUCUCUUCAGAAGAAAUCUUUUGCGCAGAAUGGUUUCAAUUCUAGCAAAUUCCUAUGAUCAGAAUGCUAAGCUGUUGAAUGGAACCCACAAGUCUCAUGUGCAUUCUCCCAAGGAGGCUGAAAUUCUUGCAAGUUACAAGCCUAGAAUAAACACAACGACGCUGAUUGCAAACCUAAAGCAAAUACAAGGCAUGACUGCUAAUGCUUUGGAAUACUUCAAAAGCACUCGGCAUAUGAUCUUGUUCUAUGAGGACAUAAUAAAAAAUCAGACUAUGCUGAAUGAUGUGCAAGAUUUCCUGAGAGUUCCAAGAAUGGAUCUCCAUAGUCGUCAAGUGAAGAUACACAAGGCGCCACUGUCUUUGCAAGUUGAAAAUUGGAGUGAUGUUGAAAAGGCACUCAAGGGAACACCUUAUGAAAGCUUCCUACACGCAGAUUACAAAAUAUAAAUGUGCAGUUCUUGUGUAUAUGUAGCUUCUGUUGUUUAAAUCUAUUCUUUCAUUAUUUAUAUGUAAGCAGAAGCUAGCGGGAUUUGGCUAAGGCAGGUUGUUACCGAGUUCCUCUUGUUUCAGUUGCUAUUUUAAUCCAGUGAAUUGUGUGGAUGGCUUACUUGAUCUAGACAAGGUAAAGAAUGAGUAAAUUGAGUAGGUUAAAUAGGCUUACUUGACAUCUG